AAGCUCGUAGUUGAAUUUCGGGAUUAGUGCGCCGGUCGUGCCUUCGGUAUGUACUGGUGUUACUGGUUCCUACCUUCUGACGAACCGUCAUGUCAUUAAUUUGGUGUGGCGGGGAAUCAGGACUGUUACUUUGAAAAAAUUAGAGUGUUUAAAGCAGGCUCGCGCUUGAAUACAUUAGCAUGGAAUAAAGAAAUAGGACGUUCGAUCCUAUUUUGUUGGUUUCUAGGAUUGACGUAAUGAUUAAUAGGGAUAGUUGGGGGCAUUAGUAUUCAAUUGUCAGAGGUGAAAUUCUUGGAUUUAUUGAAGACUAACUACUGCGAAAGCAUUUGCCAAGGAUGUUUUCAUUAAUCAAGAACGAAAGUUAGGGGAUGGAAGACGAUCAGAUACCGUCGUAGUCUUAACCAUAAACUAUGCCGACUAGGGAUCGGAUGAUGUUAUUUUUAAUGACUCAUUCGGCGCCUUACGGGAAACCUAAGUGUUUGGGUUCCGGGGGGAGUAUGGUCGCAAGGCUGAAACUUAAAGGAAUUGACGGAAGGGCACCACCAGGGGUGGAGCCUGCGGCUUAAUUUGACUCAACACGGGGAAA
rnacentral:rRNA from 1 species